rfam:Acidianus hospitalis W1, complete genome.
GGGUCGGGUAGGGUGGGGAGUCCCGCCGCCUCCUGUUCCCGCAUGGCGUAAAGCGGGCACCAGUAACUCCUAUUCCACGACACGUGGCAGUCUACGGGCCGGGCCGAACAAUGAAGGCCGCCCAGUAGGGCUGGCGGCUAUGGUCUCCUCCUCUGGAGGGAGGAGGGGAACCAUACUUGCCGGGGGAAUCUGCUAGAUCCGGAAGGGGGCAGCAGUACCCGGACGUCAGCGCUUACUGGUCACCGGCCAGAGGUAGGCUCGGGGUAAACCCUAGGCUGUAGGCGGUCGUGGAAUAGGGGGUCCGACCC